AAAAAUAGUCAAGCUCUUGCCCUCGGCCAUUCAAUUCAUGAAAGUAUCAAGAUAGUUGUCUCUCCUUGUUUAGUUCCGUGCACCUUAUUUCAUAGUUCAUAGAUUUGAGCAUCGUUGCUUACUUGGGAGUUGGGAAUAGGUUUGGGAUAUUGCACUCCAAAUCUUCUUAGUUGCAUUGCGUAAUAAAUGUUCUCAAGUAAUUUGUAGUUGCA
rnacentral:misc_RNA from 1 species